rnacentral:rRNA from 1 species
AACGGAGUACCCUCGAAAGAGAUUUCGGUCAAUGGAGAGGACUACUUAUUGGCGGACGGGUGAGUAACGCGUGAGGAACCUGCCUUUCAGAGGGGGACAACAGUUGGAAACGACUGCUAAUACCGCAUAACGUACGGGUAUCGCAUGGUACUGGUACCAAAGAUUUAUCGCUGAGAGAUGGCCUCGCGUCUGAUUAGCUAGUUGGUAGGGUAACGGCCUACCAAGGCGACGAUCAGUAGCCGGACUGAGAGGUUGGCCGGCCACAUUGGGACUGAGAUACGGCCCAGACUCCUACGGGAGGCAGCAGUGGGGAAUAUUGGGCAAUGGGCGAAAGCCUGACCCAGCAACGCCGCGUGAAGGAAGAAGGCUUUCGGGUUGUAAACUUCUUUUAAGGGGGAAGAGCAGAAGACGGUACCCCUUGAAUAAGCCACGGCUAACUACGUGCCAGCAGCCGCGGUAGUACGUAGGUGGCAAGCGUUGUCCGGAUUUACUGGGUGUAAAGGGCGUGCAGCCGGAGAGACAAGUCAGAUGUGAAAUCCACGGGCUCAACCCGUGAACUGCAUUUGAAACUGUUUCCCUUGAGUGUCGGAGAGGUAAUCGGAAUUCCUUGUGUAGCGGUGAAAUGCGUAGAUAUAAGGAAGAACACCAGUGGCGAAGGCGGAUUACUGGACGAUAACUGACGGUGAGGCGCGAAAGCGUGGGGAGCAAACAGGAUUAGAUACCCUGGUAGUCCACGCUGUAAACGAUCGAUACUAGGUGUGCGGGGACUGACCCCCUGCGUGCCGGAGUUAACACAAUAAGUAUCGCACCUGGGGAGUACGAUCGCAAGGUUGAAAC